rnacentral:tRNA from 1 species
GCGGGUGUAGCUCAACGGUAGAGUACGAGCUUCCCAUGCUCGGUGUUGCGAGUUCGAUCCUCGUCACCCGCU